ACGCGAGACCUUACCAGGUCUUGACAUCACCUAGCAAGCCAUGGAAACAUGGCCCUCCUUCGGGACUGGGUGACAGGUGGUGCAUGGUUGUCGUCAGCUCGUGUCGUGAGAUGUUGGGUUAAGUCCCGCAACGAGCGCAACCCUUGCCUUUAGUUGCCAGCAUUAAGUUGGGGACUCUAAAGGGACUGCCGGCGACAAGUCGGAGGAAGGUGGGGAUGACGUCAAAUCAUCAUGCCCCUUAUGAUCUGGGCUACACACGUGCUACAAUGGGUGGUACAGAGGGAAGCGAAGCUGUGAGGCGGAGCGAAUCCCAGAAAGCCACUCUCAGUUCGGAUUGCAGGCUGCAACUCGCCUGCAUGAAGUCGGAAUCGCUAGUAAUCGCGGGUCAGCAUACCGCGGUGAAUACGUUCCCGGGCCUUGCACACACCGCCCGU
rnacentral:rRNA from 2 species